rnacentral:rRNA from 1 species
GACGAACGCUGGCGGCGUGCCUAAUACAUGCAAGUAGAACGCUGAAGAGAGGAGCUUACUCUUCUUGGAUGAGUUGCGAACGGGUGAGUAACGCGUAGGUAACCUGCCUUGUAGCGGGGGAUAACUAUUGGAAACGAUAGCUAAUACCGCAUAACAAUGGAUGACACAUGUCAUUUAUUUGAAAGGGGCAAUUGCUCCACUACAAGAUGGACCUGCGUUGUAUUAGCUAGUAGGUGAGGUAAGGGCUCACCUAGGCGACGAUCCAUAGCCGACCGGAGCGGGUGAUCGGCCACACUGGGACGGAGACACGGCCCAGACUCCGACGGGAGGCAGCAGUAGGGAAUCUUCGGCAAUGGGGGCAACCCUGACCGAGCAACGCCGCGUGAGUGAAGAAGGUGUUCGGAUCGUAAAGCUCUGUUGUAAGUCAAGAACGGGUGUGAGAGUGGAAAGUUCACACUGUGACGGUAGCUUACCAGAAAGGGACGGCUAACUACGU